rnacentral:rRNA from 1 species
AGUAACGCGUGGGUAACCUACCUUAUACAGGGGGAUAACAGUCAGAAAUGGCUGCUAAUACCGCAUGAGCGCACAGAGCUGCAUGGCUCAGUGUGAAAAACUCCGGUGGUAUAAGAUGGACCCGCGUUGGAUUAGCUGGUUGGUGGGGUAACGGCCCACCAAGGCGACGAUCCAUAGCCGGCCUGAGAGGGUGAACGGCCACAUUGGGACUGAGACACGGCCCAG